rnacentral:rRNA from 1 species
CCUACGGGAGGCUGCAGUGGGGAAUAUUGCACAAUGGGGGAAACCCUGAUGCAGCGACGCCGCGUGAGUGAAGAAGUAUCUCGGUACGUAAAGCUCUAUCAGCAGGGAAGAAAAUGACGGUACCUGACUAAGAAGCCCCGGCUAACUACGUGCCAGCAGCCGCGGUAAUACGGAGGGGGCAAGCGUUAUCCGGAUUUACUGGGUGUAAAGGGAGCGUAGACGGCUAAUCAAGUCAGAAGUGAAAACCCAGGGCUCAACUUUGGGACUGCUUUUGAAACUGAGUAGCUAGAGUGCAGGAGAGGUAAGCGGAAUUCCUAGUGUAGCGGUGAAAUGCGUAGAUAUUAGGAGGAACACCAGUGGCGAAGGCGGCUUACUGGACUGUAACUGACGUUGAGGCUCGAAAGCGUGGGGAGCAAACAGGAUUAGAUACCCCAGUAGUC